rnacentral:rRNA from 1 species
GGGUCAGUAGGUUGGUAGUGCCACCGGUACGUACUGGUCUCACUGAUUCCUCCUUCCUGAAGAACCUUAAUGCCAUUAAUUUGGUGUUGCGGGGAAACAGGACUGUUACUUUGAAAAAAUUAGAGUGUUUAAAGCAAGCAAACGCUUGAAUACAUUAGCAUGGAAUAAUGAAAUAGGACGAUCGAUCCUAUUUUGUUGGUUUCUAGGAUUGACGUA